AAUUUAAAAUAUAUAUUAUAUUAUACAUGCGUAAGUAAUAAUUAUGUUUUUAUAUUAUAUUAUUAUUAAUAUAUUAUAUUAUAUUAUAUUAUUAUAUUAUUAUAUUAUUAUAUUAUUAUAUAUAUGACAAAGAAAGAAAGAAAAGAAACAGAGAGCAAAACAAAACAGAGAAGGGAGAAAGAAAGAAACAGAGAGCAAAACGAAACAGAGAAGGAAGGAAGGAAAGAGAGAAAAGAAAAGAAAAGAAAAAAGGAAAUUUGAGGUUUUAAGGUUCAAAGUAAUUUGGUAAGUCAAUUUAAUCCCCUUUUCUCUUAAUUUUGAUAUUUUUUUUGAAAUCCUAGAAUAAAAUACUACUUGAUUUAAGUUGAAAUUUUGGAAGUUAGUAGAUUAUUAAGCAUGGUUCAUGUUGAAUAAAUUGUUAAAUUAGGGAUGUAUUUGAUAGAAAUUUUGAUUGGAAUUGAAUAAAGGAUUGAAUUGUAAACUAAACUAUAAGUUUUGAAUUUUAGGGAUUAAUUUGAAAUAAAUUCGAAAUUAUGAAAACAUGAUAAAAAUUAAAUAGUUAAAUAUGAGUUUAGCAAGAAAUUGGGUAGAAUAAGGGUAUGAAUUGAGAAAGAAAAAUAUAUAGGUUUAGUUAGGGGUUAAAUUGAUUUAAUUUCAAGUUAGAAGUUAGUAAAGAAUGUAAUUGUAAAAUAAAAUAUAAGUUUUGAAUCGAUAGGGAUUAAAUUGAAAGAAUCCCAAAAUUAGGGAUUUAUGGGGAAAUUGAAGAAUUAAACUGAGUUUAUAGUAAGAAUUAAGAGAGAAUAUAGAGUUAGAAUGCAAAAAUAAAAUUAGUAUUGAUAAGGGAUUAAAUUAGAAUUUGAUGUUGCCAUAGAAGAGAAAAAUGUUCAGAAUGUUAUAAAACAUAAGAAUAAGAGAUGAAGUUUAAUUUCCGGGCCUUGGGGCAAAAAUGUAAUUAUGUAAAAGUUUAGGGGCAAAAUUGUAAUUUUGAAAAAGUUAGAGUCGAGGGCUAUUUUGAUGAAUGUGAUUAUUAAAUAAGUUAAAUUUACUAUUUUAGAUCAAGAAGUACGAAACUCGAGGUUAGACAAAGGG
rnacentral:lncRNA from 1 species